rnacentral:rRNA from 1 species
UACGGGGGGAGCAAGCGUUGUUCGGAUUUACUGGGCGUAAAGGGCGCGUAGGCGGCCACCGCAAGUCAGUUGUGAAAUCUCUGGGCUUAACCCAGAAAGGUCAACUGAUACUGCGGGGCUAGAGUGCAGAAGGGGCAACUGGAAUUCUCGGUGUAGCGGUGAAAUGCGUAGAUAUCGAGAGGAACACCUGCGGCGAAGGCGGGUUGCUGGGCUGACACUGACGCUGAGGCUCGAAAGCGUGGGGAGCAAACAGG